GCAAAAAUUAAAUGUUAACACAAAUAUGAAAGUGCACAUGGAUUUGAUUAUUGUACUCCACAGGAAGAAAAUUAUGUUCUCUAAAACUCAUACCAGUUUUGUUGCUCUAUAGACUCAUUCCUGCCUUUUGUCUUUUCCUUCCAUUAACUCUUUUAAGUUCUUAAAAAGACUUGAUUAAUAAUAGGACAUAAUAUUUGCCUUAACCUUCCACUGCCAUUUCUCUUCAGUAAUGGAUUGCCUUGUCAUUAAUUAUGAUGUAAAUCUAUGGCAGUGAUUUCAGUUAACCACUUUUACUUUCCUGUUAUGUCUUCUGAAGAGUGGGAUCAAAUUCCAUGCUGGAAAACAUAAUAAGACCUGCAUUAGACCCUUUUAAUGGGCACUUCAUAGUACAAGAUUUUGCUGGUUAGAUCAUCUUCUUAGAAAUAUCACCCUGAAUGCAUAUAGAUCAUCUCUGUGCUGAAGAAUUGAUGCAGUUCCCAUCCCUGGUUCUGAAAUGUGUCUAUCACCAUUCACCUUGUGCUGAUGGAAUUCACUGAUCGUAUAUGGUAAUGAACUUGCCCCAAACAGUUGGUACAGAUGAUACCUAGAGAUACUGUUUUCUUAAUCCAUCAUUGUCUUUUGUUUCUGAUAUGUAAAAGCUGUCAUCAUCUCUGAAGAGUCUGUAUGGAUAUCCUCUGCAAGAAUUUUAACUCUGCAAAG
rnacentral:lncRNA from 1 species